rnacentral:siRNA from 1 species
UAAAAUACAAAUCAGCAAGAAA